AUGAAACAGGCGAAGCAGGCGGCGGUGAUGGAGGAACAAAUCACGGCGCUGGCCAAGGCCGUCAACGACGGGCGGGUGGCCAACGAGGCCCGCCUCGACGCGAUCCAGCAGUCACUGGAACUAUGGAGGCCGGCGGUCACCCAUCUCCAACACCAGGUUGACGAGUUGCGCACGCAGGUGGGGUGCAUCACGCUCCAUCCGGCGCUGGCGGCGCCUCCGGAUCCUAUCCCGGAGGGCGACGCGGUGGUGCGCCGGUUCCUGCAGCAACUACGGACACCGCCGAGCACCACGGGCCAUUAG
rnacentral:rRNA from 1 species